rnacentral:antisense_RNA from 1 species
GGUUCCCGCUCGCGCCUCUCCCUCCACACCUCCCUGCAAGCUGAGGGAGUGGGCUCUGGCCUUGGCCAGCCCAGAAAGGGGCUCCCACAGUGCAGCCGUGGGCUGAAGGGCUUCUCAAGUGCCGCCAAAGUGGGAGCCCAGGCAGAGGAGUCGCCGAGAGCGAGCGCGGGCUGUGAGGACUGCCAGCACGCUGUCACCUCUCAAUAAGGCCCAUCCCAACGUUUCCUGAGGAAUAAUUUUGGUCGUGUUCCUGCUACUCAGCUUUUCGUGGUUCCUGCUCAUUUUCAGAGUCUAACAUUCCAGCUUUUCCGGAAAUUCUAUACUUUGAUGUAAAAGUUUUCAAAGAAAUGCUUUGGGCAGAAGAGACUCAUGGAAACUGGACACUAUAUCUGGAGCCAGGAAUAAUAGGAUCCAAGAAACAGUAACAAGUAUAAAACAAAGUGGUCUUGAACUCCUGGCCUCAAGUAAUCUUCCCCACUG